AUGCAGCCGCUCAGCUCAUCAAGCCGUAGCAGCAGCAGCAGAUACACCACCAAAUCGUCCCUGCCGUUCGUUGGCCUUGUCGCUGCCCUCCUGUUCUCCUUCGCCUCCCCGACCAGCUCCUGCACGGAGCAGGAGAGGGGCGCCCUCCUCGGCUUCCUGGGCGGGCUUGUGCCGGGUGGCAGCGGCAGUCUCAACGUGUCGUGGGUGAACGGCACGGACUGCUGCCAAUGGGAUGGCGUCCUCUGCAGCGGCGACGGCACGGUCACCGAUGUCUCGUUGGCUUCCAGAGGUCUCAGAGGGGGCGUCUCGCCAAACCUCGGUGAUCUUCCUGGCCUGCUGCGCCUGAACCUGUCCCAUAAUUCGCUUGAAGGCGGUCUACCGACGGAAUUGGUGUUCUCCAGAAGCAUUAUUGUCCUCGACGUCAGCUUCAACCGCCUGGAUGGUCGUCUGCAGGAGCUGCGAUCCUCAGAUACCGGCCUUCCUCUCCAGGUGCUGAAUAUCUCAAGCAAUUUGUUUACAGGACAGUUUCCAUCCGUGACAUGGGAGGCCAUGAAGAAUCUGGUUGCUCUUAAUGCGAGCAACAACACCUUCACAGGACAAAUACCAUCUUCUAUCUGCACCAACGCCCCCUUAUUUGAUAUGCUUGACCUUUGUUUCAACCAACUCAGUGGCAACAUUCCCCCAGGGCUUGGCAGUUGCUCCAUGCUGAAAGUGCUCAAGGUUGGACACAACAGCCUCAGUGGAGCUCUCCCGCCGGAACUCUUCAAUGCUACCUCACUGGAGCAGCUCUCCUUACCCAACAAUUUCUUGCAAGGAGUUAUUGAUGGCUCCCACAUAGCAAAACUAAGCAAUCUGUCUGUCCUUAAUCUUGGAUCGACUGGCAUCAGUGGCAAGAUUCCGGAUUCUGUCGGCCAGUUAACAAGAUUGGAGCAACUCUACUUGGACAACAACAAGAUGUCUGGUGAGCUGCCACCGGCCCUAGGUAACUGCUCAAAUCUCAGAUACAUUACCGUCAGAAACAACAGUUUUACGGGGGAACUUAGCAAAGUCAACUUCACCAUGUUGGAUCUGAGGACAGCUGAUUUUUCAUUGAACAACUUCACUGGUACAAUUCCUGAAAGUAUCUACUCAUGCACCAACCUAGUUGCGUUACGGCUGGCUUUCAAUCAAUUUCAAGGCCAGUUCUCACCAAGCAUUGGAAAUCUCAGGUCCCUCUCUUUCUUUUCAAUUACUGGCAACUCUUUUACAAAUAUCACAAGUGCACUUCAGAUGCUCAAGAGAUGCAAGAACCUCACCUCCCUGCUUAUUGGAACCAACUUCAAGGGUGAAACCAUACCACAGGAUGAAAGAAUUGAUGGUUUUGAGAAGCUUCAGGUACUCACCAUAGAUGAUUGCCCAUUGGUUGGCCAAAUCCCGCUCUGGAUAUCAAAGCUUGAAAAAUUGGAGAUGCUAGACCUAUCAUUGAAUCAACUCACUGGACCGAUACCAUCCUGGAUUGAUGGGCUGGGCUUCCUGUUCUUUCUAGAUAUAUCAAGCAACAAACUUACAGGGAAUAUACCAGCUGCACUGACAAAGAUGCCGAUGUUACUAUCAGCGAAAAAUGCUGCUAAGUUGGACCCAAAGUUCCUUGAGUUGCCUGUAUUUUGGACACCAUUACGUCAGUACCGGAUGGUCAGUGCUUUUCCCAACAAAUUGUGUCUGGACAACAAUAAUUUCACUGGUGUAAUUCCCCCUGAGAUUGGUCAACUAAAAAUGCUUGACAUUCUUAAUUUAAGCUCCAACAGCUUAACUGGUGAAAUACCACAAGAAAUCUGCAACCUCACAAACCUGCAAACGCUCGACUUGUCAAACAACCAGCUCACAGGUGCAAUACCAUCUGCCCUGAAUGGUCUGCAUUUCCUUUCCAAAUUUGAUGUUUCUAACAACAAGCUAGAAGGGGAAGUUCCAAGUGGAGGACAGUUUGAUUCUUUUUCAAAUUCUAGCUACAGUGGGAAUCCAAAGUUAUGUGGCCCUAUGAUCAACAACGGCUGCAACUCAAGACCAUCUUCAGCGUCCCCGAGACGUUGGAACAAGAAGAACAUUACUGCUGUUGGAUUAGGUGUGUUCUUUGGAGGGCUUGCCAUUCUGUUCUUGCUGGGACGUCUGCUUAUGGCCCUCAGAAGAACAAACUCUGUCCACCAAAACAAGGGUAGCAGCAAUGGCGACAUAGAGGUAAGUUCAUUCACCUCUGCGUCAGAUAACUUGUGCAAUGUAAUGAAAGGAAGCAUUUUGGUGAUGGUACCUCAAGGCAAGGGAGAAUCAGGCAAAAUCACCUUCCAUGAUAUCUUAAAGGCCACAAACAACUUCGACCAGCAGAACAUCAUCGGAUGUGGAGGUAAUGGUCUAGUUUACAAGGCAGAGCUGCCGAAUGGACCCAAGCUUGCCAUCAAGAAGCUCAACGGCGAAAUGUGCCUGAUGGAAAGAGAAUUCACUGCAGAGGUUGACGCACUCACCGUGGCGAAACAUGACAAUCUCGUGCCUCUAUGGGGUUACUACAUCCAGGGAAACUCAAGGCUCCUCAUAUAUUCUUACAUGGAGAAUGGCAGCCUGGAUGAUUGGCUUCACAACAGGGACAAUGGCAACACAUUGCUUGACUGGCCAACAAGGCUAGAGAUUGCACAAGGAGCAAGCCGGGGCCUUUCCUACAUCCACAAUAUCUGCAAGCCACACAUUGUACAUCGUGAUAUCAAGUCCAGCAACAUCCUUCUUGACAGAGAUUUCAAAGCUUAUGUUGCAGAUUUCGGGCUUGCCAGAUUGAUCCGUCCCUAUGACACACACGUCACAACUGAACUGGUCGGCACUCUGGGUUAUAUUCCUCCCGAGUAUGGGCACGCAUGGGUGGCCACACUGAGGGGAGACAUAUACAGUUUUGGAGUGGUGUUGCUUGAGCUGCUCACAGGGAAAAGGCCCGUCGAGGUCCUGUCCAAGUCGAAGGAACUUGUCCAGUGGGUACGGGAGAUGACGUCCCAGGGAAAGCAUACUGAAGUCUUGGAUCCAGCGCUGAGAGAACAAGGGCAUGAAGAGCAAAUGCUGAAGGUGCUUGAAAUUGCUUGCAAGUGUAUAAACCAUAAUCCUUGCCAGAGGCCAAGCAUCCAAGAGGUAGUAUCCUGCCUGGAAAAUGCAGAUGUGAACCUGCAGGUGGAAAUGUAG
rnacentral:rRNA from 1 species